rnacentral:rRNA from 1 species
UACGGAGGGUGCGAGCGUUGUCCGGAAUCACUGGGCGUAAAGGGCGCGUAGGCGGCUUCUCAAGCGUGUGGUGAAAGUCCGGGGCUCAACCCCGGAUCGGCCGUGCGGACUGGGGAGCUCGAGUUCUGUAGAGGCGGGUGGAAUUCCGGGUGUAGCGGUGGAAUGCGCAGAUAUCAGGAGGAACACCGGUGGCGAAGGCGGGUCUCUGGGCAGUAACUGACGCUGAGGAGCGAAAGCGUGGGGAGCGAACAGG